GUCAGAGGAAAGGGGCAAGGGGGCGCCACCGCGGCAGAGGACGGCGCGGGAGUCGCCGCAGUUGGCCACGACGAUGCGGGUGGGCCCCACGACGGCGACGACGGCGGUGGAGCCCACGUUGUCGCACCUCGGUGCGUGGAGCUCGCAGCGGCAACAGAGGGUUGGCCGGCCUCCUUGUUGCAGCGCCUCCGCCGCCGCCGAGUCCAUCCGCAAGAAGCUCCGCUCCAUCAGCCCCGUCCAAGCCCCCGGAGUCGGUGGAACAGAUCCGAGCCUCGACAUCUCAUCCGCCACGAACUCGUGCAUCCGACCACUGCAUAACGCCGCCAC
rnacentral:lncRNA from 1 species